AUCAUGUUAAAAGUGAAACUCAGAUUCAAACACACGUGCGUAUUCAAACUUGGCUUCCUCUUCUUCGUUCCUCCCUCCGCCGUGUCGGAGGUUGUCCUCGGCGGUGGAGGCUCUCUAAAGUCUAAAUUGAAAUCACCAUCCGAACUGAAAUCUCAUCUUGAAACCAAAUCCUACCACAAAAUCAUCUAAUUCUAACAGACAAGUCCGAAUUGAAGGCUACAACCGAAGAACCCUAGCUCGAAGAAUCAAAAUUAAAUGGCGUUUGUUAGGAAUCAAAGCCCCCGGGGUUAGGGCUUUGAUUCCCCUGACCUCAAAUCACAUCGUAGUAACAAGAACCAAAGCAAAUAGUGGAGGAAAUGAAAACUUACUGGUGGAGUAAGCUUCGGUCGUUACCGGAAUUUCAGGGAUUUGGUUUGUUAUGCAAUCUGAAAUGCAAAUGAAAUUAAAAUGCAGGUUUGAUUGGAUUUCAAUGUUGAACUAAGUUUCUCUGGUUUAUGCAAGUCAUGGCUGCUAAAAUGCAGGGCUGCUUGGCCGAGCUCGAAUUUGCUUGCUUGAGUUUGGAUAUGUUGAAGGGUUGCUAGCUAGAGGUUGGAUCUAUUUGGACCAAUUAUACAAGACUCCUAUUUGGACCUUUCAUGGAGCUUGUUUGGUUAUGGAUUUGUUUGGAAAGUCAUGGAAUUUUGCAUUUGGUUGUAAUGUUAUGCAUAGAAAUGUUGAUGUUUAGCAAUUUGAAUUUGAUUGAUAUUGGAAGUAUGUAUGUAAUUGGAUUGAAUGGUUAUAAUGAAUGUUAUGAAAUAAAAUUUGAAUUGAAAUUGAA